rnacentral:rRNA from 1 species
GACGAACGCUGGCGGCAUGCCUAACACAUGCAAGUCGAACGAGACCUUCGGGUCUAGUGGCGCACGGGUGCGUAACGCGUGGGAACCUGCCCUUAGGUUCGGAAUAACUCCCCGUAAGGGGUGCUAAUACCGGAUAAUGUCUUAGGACCAAAGAUUUAUCGCCUUUGGAUGGGCCCGCGUUGGUUUAACUAGUUGGUAGGGUAAAAGCCUACCAUGGCGACGAUGCAUAGCUGGUCUGAGAGGAUGCUCAGCCACACUGGGACUGAGACACGGCCCAGACUCCUACGGGAGGCAGCAGUGUGGAAUAUUGGACAAUGGGCGAAAGCCUGAUCCAGCAAUGCCGCGUGAGUGAUGAAGGCCUUAGGGUUGUAAAGCUCUUUUACCCGGGAUGAUAAUGACAGUACCGGGAGAAUAAGCACCGGCUAACUCCGUG